rnacentral:lncRNA from 1 species
UUCGGCUCCUGGGGGAGAUAAGACUCCAGGACCUGAUGCACGAGUAAGAAUGAAUGGGGCCCAAUCGCCUAACAAAGGCAACUCAAUUUCAGCCCCGAUUGUUCCAGAAGGAUUUGCUGUAAGCAACCGGAGAAGUUGGCAUUUGUUCAACAUGGAAAAAGUGUCCCCCAACUUUGAAGCACUGAACCAAACAUCUUUGUUGAGGUUUCAUUCUCACGAUAUCUGCAAAUCAACGUUUUUUCCUUCACACUAAAAACGGGCAACUUUAGAGCCCACUAAAGCUAUACAAAAUUGGGAGGGGGCAUGCUCUGAUUUUCCAUUUUUAGUUCCAGGGUCCGUAUGCAGGACUUAUUUGCAGGAAGAGCAGGAAUGAUCAGUUCAACAAGAAAAGCCACACUCAGUUUUCACAGACAGACAACCCCUCCUUCCCACCCCUGCCCUGUCCCCCAUCAACUUAAGUGGCAUAUAAAUGAUUAAAGUGGCUUCAUUAACUCCAGGAGUGUGGCCUGUGCUAGGGCACCUGAUUUGUGCUAGACGAGGCCAGCAGAAGAGCAAUCGCUCUGCAAGAGAAAGGCUCGGCCCUUCCUUAAUCACCAUGGGUUAUAAUUCACCCUGACGUCCUUACACACAUGGAGGUGCCAGGAUACUGAGCUUUCCUAUAAGCAGGGCCUCAGCAGAAGUGCCUCCCUCCGAGCCUCCAGGGCCUGAGAGGAGAGCCCC